rnacentral:rRNA from 1 species
UGGUGGAGCGAUUUGUCUGGUCAAUUCCGAUAACGAACGAGACUCUAGCCUACUAAAUAGUUCGGGGACCCCCACAAAGGGGCCCCGCUUCAACUUCUUAGGAGGGACAGGUGGCGUUUAGCCACACGAGAUUGAGCAAUAACA